rnacentral:rRNA from 1 species
GCGAAGGUAGCGCAAUCACUUGUCUUUUAAAUGAAGACCUGUAUGAAUGGCACGACGAGGGCUUAACUGUCUCCUUUUUCCAGUCAAUGAAAUUGAUCUUCCCGUGCAGAAGCGGGAAUAGUACCAUAAGACGAGAAGACCCUGUGGAGCUUUAGACACUGAAUCAGCCCUUGUCCAAAAUCCCAGUUAAGGCUAUGAACACUAGAGUGAGAUCUGAUUUAAUGUCUUCGGUUGGGGCGACCUUGGGGAAAGAAAAAUCCCCCAUGCGGAACGGAAAUACUAUGCUUCCAAAACUAAGAGCAACCACUCGAAGUAUCAAAAAUUUUGACCAACUAUAUGAUCCGGCUUAGCGCCGAUCAACGGACCAAGUUACCCCA